GUAGGAAAUUUAAAGGGCGUAUGGUGGAUGCCUUGGCUAGAAAAAGCGAUGAAGGACGUGGCGUGGCGGCGAUACGCUUCGGGGAGGUGCCGAGCAACCUUUGAUCCGAAGAUGUCCGAAUGGGGAAACCCUAUCAAGUAUAACUUGAUAAUUCUGCGUAAUAAUUACGUAGAGAGCGUACCCUGGGAAGUAAAACAUUUCAGUACCAGGAGGAAAAUAAACAAAUAUGCAUUCCGUAAGUAGCGGCGAGCGAAAGCGGAGAUAGACUAAACUGAUCGCAGUAAUGUGAUGAGGGUUGCGAGACUGAGACGUUCCAUUUAUGGAAGAGGAGUUACAAAAUUUUUUGUUAGCAGAAUAACCUGGAAAGGUUAGCCCCAGCGGGUGAUAGCCCCGUAUGCGAAAACAAAAAGUCUUCUUUGUUUCAGUUCUCAAGUACACCGGGACACGAAAAGCUCGGUGGAAUCUGCCAGAACUAACUGGCAAGUCUAAAUAUUUUUCUAGACCGAUAGUGAACAAGUACCGUGAGGGAAAGGUGAAAAGCAGCCCGGAAGGGCGUUGAAAUAGACCUGAAACCAUAUGCCUACAAGGAGUCGGAGCGGUCAACACAAAAUAUCUAAGUCCUAAUACCUAAUUUCUAAAAUUCAAAAAUUAGAAAUUAGAAAUUAGAAAUUUGGAUUUUAUGUGUUGACCGUGACGGCGUGCCUAUUGAAGAAUGAGCCAACGAGUUUAUGCAAGCUGCUCGACUAAGGCCGCGAGGCCGGAGUCACAGGGAAACCGAGUCUGAACAGGGCGCUCGUAGUUUGCAUAAGACCCGAAGCCAGAUGAGCUUGCCAUGCGCAGGGUGAAGUUCGCCGAAAGGCGGAUGGAGGCCCGAACCGGUGAGCCGUGCAAAACUCUCGGAUGACGUGUGGUAAGGAGUGAUAAGCUAAUCGAAUCUGGUAAUAGCUGGUUCUCUCCGAAAGAACUUUUGGGUUCGCGUCGGAUGUACCUUUGUGGGGUAGAGCACUGGAAGGUCUCGACAGGUCGAAAGAUCACGAGACCUAUCAAACUCCGAAUACACAAAGUAAUUAUCCGGCAGUUAGACUGUGGGGGCUAAGCUCCACUGGUCAAAAGGGAAACAGCCCGGAUCUCAAUUUAAGGUCCCUAAAUCGAUGUUAAGUGCGCUUAAGGUGGUGAAAUUUCUUAGACAAUGAGGAUGUAGGCUUAGAAGCAGCCAUCAUUCAAAGAUAGCGUAACAGCUCACUCAUCGAGAAAUUUCGCGCCGCAGAUAAUCGGGGCUAAAACAUCGUACCGAAACUGAGGACUGUAUGUUGCUUCGGCAAUGUACAGUGGUAGGAGAGUAUUCGUAUCGCAUUGAAGGUGAAGGGGUGACCCACACUGGAGCGUUACGAAGUAAGAAUGUUGGCACAAGUAACCGCAAUGCGGGUGAGAUUCCCGCACGUCGAAAGAUCAAGGUUUCCUUGGCAAUGUAUAUCAGCCAAGGGUUAGUCGGUCCUAAGGGGAUGGCGAACGCCGCACCCGAUGGAUACACGGUUAAUAUUCCGUGACUUGUACAUAAUGCGAUGGGAGGACGAAGUGUAGUAUUUUACGCGUAUAAUUGGAUUUAACGUCUGUGCUGUAGGGGUGGGUCCUGGCAAAUCCGGAUCCUGACUUUAAUGUCGCAUCCGAGCAGAGCAGAAAUGCCCGCAAGGGUAAAAUGUAAAAAAGCACGCUUUCAAGAAAAGUCUCUAAGCAUAAUUAUGUAUGAAC
rnacentral:rRNA from 1 species